CGUUAUUUUUUUCUGCACCAGCUCCCAGUUAGAGACACGUACCUGUUGGAGCGGUUUGGUUUAUAGAUAGAUGACACUUCCAAUGCACUUCUUCAUACAGCCGUGACUUACUGGACGCUUGACGCAAAUGAAUAACUUCGAGAACCAGACCGACGCCAAAAGGAUGAAGGUAGGCGAUAUGGAGGUCGGGACUGACGCCAAAAUGUAUAACGUUAACUCUGAGGCCGAGAAACGCCCUAAAAGGUAGAAUACAGAUGCCCUCCUAAAGCUCACAACCCCAAGGCCUUUGCUGAAAGACCUAAACAAAGGACUAAGAACACUAAUUGCCCAGCCUAGAUGAGCUGAGCAUCACCAUGAUGUACACUGUACAGGAAGGUGGCAGGAGAGCCUCUUCUGGAAUCAGUGAGGAAUGGGACAUCAUGUGCCAGGAGUUUUCAGCCAUGGUCUGAAAUCAGAAGUUACAGGGAGCUGCAUAACCUCUUAGUUUAGUGUGAUAAACUUUAAGAAAACCCCUUAGAACCAGUGUCCGCUGUGCCAUUUUUGACUGUUCUGGUACUAGCCUAACGCCAAACUGGGCACAGGCUCUCUGAUGGACUCACAAAUGGGCUAGGCCUUACACAGCAGCACAGCCCACAUCUGUAGCCCAUUGGGGGGGAAAAACGGGUGGCAGCUUGCAGCCGACAAACUCAGAGAACACCAGUAACUCAGGAUCAUCGGCAUAGUCAACUAAAAGGUGGAUCAAAAACUGUGCUCUGCCUUUCACUGGCUGUGCAAAGCUGUUACAGUAAUGCAAGGUGAUCCCCCACCACCUUACACAAUGGAUGCUGUGCUGCAGUACUUUACUUACUCCCCUCAUGAGGAUUUGCUGCAGUGCCCAUCUUUUGUUUUGUAUAUAGUUAACUGUCUAUAGUUCCUUUUACAAACCUAUACAGCUGGCCUGCAGUUACUGUAUAUUGAUUGUAAUCAAGUUCAUUUAAAACAAAUGCUGUUACGGACCAUGAAUUUUAACAAUACGUUAUUUUACAGUCACACUUUUUUAAAUAACUUUUUAAAAGUUGUCCAAGUUUGUCGUACUUGCAUCUCUGUCACAAUAUUUGCAAAAUGACUGUAUCCAAAUAUGUCACCUGAUCUUAAUUAAAUCUUGUGCUUGUGAAUGUG